GCCUCUCGUCUUUUCUUAACCUAUAUACUUUCUAAGUGAGCUAUUAGCCUAAGUCUUUGAAAAAAAUUUAAUUUGGCUCAAGAAAAGGAAAGAUUUAGAAAAACCAAAGAAGAUACUAUAAAUUUAAUUUUUUUUUAUUAUGCGAAAGGGAAUAAAAAUUCAAAUAACUAAGAAUUAAAAGUAAAUAGAGAUAGUAGAAUACUCCCCUAAACUUAAAUCCAACAGUGUCCUCACUGUUGCAACUCAAGAGUAGUUUUGGAGCGUAAAACCUGUGGCAACAGCCCUGCAUCUUAUGUUGGGUUUGCAGAAUUUGGUUUGGCUGGGCUUGCAUGGAUGUCACUUGUUUCAUCAUCUCCUCUUGUUGUUGAUGCAUGGCAUAGAAUAAUCCAUCACACUCUUGAUUUAAUGCAUUUUGGGCGCGUAUCUCAUGGAGUACAUCAUCGAUGGAGCUUUGCCUUGAUGAGGAGGAACUACCUGCAAAAGUGUUAGAAAAAUGUGUAGUGUGUGCAGGUGGAACAAUGCUNN
rnacentral:lncRNA from 1 species